GGACAAAGUAGCACAAUUCUUUUAUAAAGUUGUCCUCAAAGAGAAAACCUUUUGCCUGUGUGUCCAACUCGUUCAGAGCAAUAGUUACACGUUUGGGCACAAUUUUGAGCAAGAUCGAUUUGCUCUGUGGCAACCACAGUGUUGGUGUUGUCAACUUAACAGAUCACUCUCUCAAUGAAACCACUUAAGGUGGCGCUAUCUAAUUCUAGAUCUUCGUCUACUGCUUCAGAGAUCUUG